CAGCCUCCUUCUCAAGGUCCAGAAACAAGGCCUGGAAGAUGUCAACAAUAUGGGCCUUCCCCAUCGGAAUCCGCACCGAUUAUGGGAGUUUAGGGGGUGUUCUUCAUUACGGUUUCAUCAAUCCUACAAGGAGAACUCGCUGCCGUCCGCCGUCCUCCCAGCAGCACCACCAGCAGAAACCCAAUACUGCCAGCGUCAAAGAUGGCGCCCGGCUACAGGCUCAGCUCUAAGACCGGAGCGGUAAAAGUGCCAGCACGACGCAAGCGCAAGGAUUCUGGGAGAUGUAGUUUCCUCUAUGAGGCGAUGCGUAAGAUGGCGGCCUCGGUCACAGGGUCACGUGAGAGGGGAGGUGCUAAGCCUUUGGGGCCCGCUCUUUCCGCGGAACGCGUUUUAGAAAGUUAUGGGUUUCUUGAAAGAAUCUUUGAUUUUUUUAAAAGUUUUAUUUAAUUUUUAUUAUUUUGGAUGUUUUAAAAGUUUUUUUUUUCAUUAAAUAAGGUAAUAAACGAGAAAGUCGCGAGAGCUGUGUCUACCGGACAAUAGGCGCUCAGUUUAUUCUUACCAGAAGUGUUUGCUUAGUGAAUAAAUAAUCCCAAUCGUGUAGAUAUCCAAUUUAGAAAUAAACUACUUUUCCUAUGCAA